GUCGAGGUGACGUAAUUGGCAAACGUACAGCACUUAAAAUGCUGGUUCUGCGGGUUCGAUCCCCGCCCUCGAUA
rnacentral:tRNA from 2 species